CACGGCGCACGGGUGCGUAACACGUGGGCAAUCUGCCCUCCGAUGGGGAAUAACCCCGCGAAAGCGGGGCUAAUACCGCAUAACAUUCCUUAGGCGAUGGUCUGAGGAUUCAAAGCAGUGAUGCGUCGGAGGAGGAGCCCGCGCCCGAUUAGCUAGUUGGUGAGGUAACGGCUCACCAAGGCAAUGAUCGGUAGCUGGUCUGAGAGGAUGAUCAGCCACACUGGAACUGAGACACGGUCCAGACUCCUACGGGAGGCAGCAGUGGGGAAUCUUGCACAAUGGGCGAAAGCCUGAUGCAGCGACGCCGCGUGGGGGAUGAAGCUUCUCGGAGUGUAAACCCCUUUCGCCUGGGACGAAUGCCCGCAAGGGAGUGACGGUACCAGGAUAAGAAGCCCCGGCUAACUACGUGCCAGCAGCCGCGGUAAGACGUAGGGGGCCAGCGUUGUUCGGAAUUACUGGGUGUAAAGGGUUCGUAGGCGGUGUGGCAAGUUGGGAGUGAAAUCUCUGGGCUCAACCCAGAGGCUGCUUCCAAAACUGCUGUGCUUGAGUGUGAGAGAGGCUCGUGGAAUUGCAGGUGUAGCGGUGAAAUGCGUAGAUAUCUGCAGGAACACCCGUGGCGAAAGCGGCGAGCUGGAUCACUACUGACGCUGAGGAACGAAAGCUAGGGGAGCAAACAGGAUUAGAUACCCUGGUAGUCCUAGCCCUAAACGAUCAGGACUUGGGGUGCCACCCGUUCGGGUGUCGUCCCGGAGCUAACGCGUUAAGUCCUGCACCUGGGGAGUACGGUCGCAAGACUGAAACUCAAAGGAAUUGACGGGGGCCCGCACAAGCGGUGGAACAUGUGGUUCAAUUCGA
rnacentral:rRNA from 1 species